rnacentral:rRNA from 1 species
GAGUUUGAUCGUGGCUCAGAACGAACGCUGGCGGCAUGCCUAACACAUGCAAGUCGAGCGCCCGUAGCAAUACGGGAGCGGCGCACGGGUGAGUAACGCGUGGGAACCUGCCCAGAGGUUCGGGACAACCGCGGGAAACUGCGGCUGAUACCGGAUGAUGUCUGAGGACCAAAGAUUUAUCGCCUUUGGAGGGGCCCGCGUCGGAUUAGGUAGUUGGUGAGGUAACGGCUCACCAAGCCUGCGAUCCGUAGCUGGUCUGAGAGGAUGGCCAGCCACACUGGGACUGAGACACGGCCCAGACUCCUACGGGAGGCAGCAGUGGGGAGUAUUGGACAAUGGGGGCAACCCUGAUCCAGCAAUGCCGCGUGGGUGAUGAAGGCCUUCGGUUGUAAAGCCUUUCGUCACGCGACGAUGAUGACGGUAGCGUGAGAAGAAG